rnacentral:rRNA from 1 species
AAUGAACGUUGGCGGCGUGGAUUAGGCAUGCAAGUCGAGCGCUCAUCAGCAAUGGUGGGAGCGGCGAACGGCGUAGUAAUUCAUAGGAACGUACCCUCAGGUCGGGGAUAGCUACGGGAAACUGUAGGUAAUACCCGAUGAUCUCCGCGGAGCAAAGGUGUGAUUCCGCCUGAGGAGCGGCUUAUGCGAUAUUAGCUAGUUGGUGGGGUAAUGGCCUACCAAGGCGAAGAUGUCUAGGGGGUGUGAGAGCAUGGGCCCCCCACGACCGGAACUGAGAUACUGUCCGGACACCUACGGGUGGCAG